GGGGUUGUGGCUCAGUGGUAGAGUGCUCACCUAGCAUGUGCGCCCUGGGUUCCAUCCUCAGCACUACA
rnacentral:tRNA from 1 species